AUACGGAGGGUGCAAGCGUUGUUCGGAAUCACUGGGCGUAAAGCGCGCGUAGGUGGAUCAAUUAGUUGAGGGUGAAAUCCCGGGGCUCAACCUCGGAACUGCCUUCAAUACUGUUGAUCUUGAGACCGAGAGAGGUGAGUGGAAUUCCUAGUGUAGAGGUGAAAUUCGUAGAUAUUAGGAAGAACACCAGUGGCGAAGGCGGCUCACUGGCUCGGUACUGACGCUGAGGUGCGAAAGCGUGGGGGGCAAACAGGAUUAGAUACCCUAGUAGUCC
rnacentral:rRNA from 1 species